CCUUGUGUUUAGACCAAGGUGUAGGAUUUAGGGGUCAAUUUGGAAAUAGAAAUUGAAUGUAGUUCAGUGGCUGACAGGUGUCCUUAAUUAGCCAACGACAUUAGAAGGGUCUGGGAUUCCUUUAAAAGGAGCAACCAAACAUCUGGCAAAUAUAGUAAAAGGGAUAUUCUGGUAGGACGUAUGCCUACCAUUAGUUCUGAAUACUGGUGAGGUUUUGAGGGCAAAAUGGCCGUGAUGAUUGGAAUCGCUUUCAGCAUUUCUUGGCUUUGUUGCCUGCUAAUUGGAGGGAUAACGUGUUCUACAUCAGAAGGUGAGUUCAUUUCAAAUAACAGCUACGCAGUUGCUUAACUUUCAAAUGCUGGCAUUUUACAGAUUAUAUUUUUAACCUAGGUGAUUGGUCUCCUGCACUGGAUUCUAAUGCAGCAUGGCUCUAUGCAGGAUCACUUCGGUCUCUAGGAUAUGGCAAUUAUAAAUCUCAAAUGCAAGCGCAACAGAAACAUCCGGCCGCCAUCCUGCGGAAGGAACUGGCCCCCAUGUCCCAGCAACCUCAGCAAGUGUGGUAUCCAGUUCAAUUGCCCCUGCAUCAGAAGCAACUGGCCGCAGAAACUCAGCAGCAGAGGCAACCGACAACUGUGCCCCAGCAAGUGUGGCAUCAAGCUCACAUGCUGACACAACCACCGACCGCCGUGCCCCAGCAAGUGUGGCAUCAAGCUCACAUGCUGACGCAUAAGCAACCGACCGCCGUGCCCCAGCAAGUGUGGCAUCAAGCUCACAUGCUGACGCAUAAGCAACCGACCGCCGUGCCCCAGCAAGUGUGGCAUCCUGCUCAAAAGCCCCUGCAGCAGAAGCAACUGGCCGCAGAAGCUCAGCAGCAGAGGCAACCGACCGCCGUGCCCCAGCAAGUGUGGCAUCAAGCUCACAUGCUGACGCAUAAGCAACCGACCACUGUGCCCCAGCAAGUGUGGCAUCCUCCUCAAAUGCUCCUGCAGCAGAAGCAACCGACCGCCGUGCCCCAGCAAGUGUGGCAUCCUCCUCAAAUGCCCCUGCAGCAGAAGCAACCGACCGCCGUGCCCCAGCAAGUAUGGCAUCCUUCUCAAAUGCCCCUGCAAACAACCGCUGUGCCCCAGCAAGUGUGGCAUCCUCCUCAAAUGCCCCUGCAGCAUAAUCAACCGACCGCUGUGCCCCAGCAAGUGUGGCAUCCUGCUCAAAAGCCCCUGCAGCAGAAGCAACCGACCGCCGUGCCCCAGCAAGUGUGGCAUCAAGCUCACAUGCUGACGCAUAAGCAACCGACCGCUGUGCCCCAGCAAGUGUGGCAUCCUCCUCAAAUGCCCCUGCAGCAGAAGCAACCGACCACCGUGCCCCAGCAAGUGUGGCUUCCUCCUCAAUUGCCCCUGCAGCAGAAGCAACCGACCGCUGUGCCCCAGCAAGUAUGGCAUCCUUCUCAAAUGCCACUGCAAACAACCGCUGUGCCCCAGGAAGUGUGGCAUCCUCCUCAAAUGCCCCUGCAGCAUAUUCAACCGAUCGGCGUGCCCCAGCAAGUGUGGCUUCCUCCUCAAAUGCCCUUGCAGCAGAAGCAACCGAGCGCCGUGCCCCAGCAAGUGUGGCAUCCUCCUCAAAUGCCCCUGCAGCAGAAGCAACCGACCGCCGUGCCCCAGCAAGUGUGGCUUCCUCCUCAAAUGCCCUUGCAGCAGAAGCAACCGAGCGCCGUGCCCCAGCAAGUGUGGCUUCCUCAAUUGCCCCUGCAGCAGAAGCAGCCGACCGCCGUGCCCCAGCAAGUGUGGCUUCCUCAAUUGCCCCUGCAGCAGAAGCAACCGACCGCCGUGCCCCAGCAAGUGUGGCAUCCAGCUCAAAUGCAGCAGAAGCAACAGACCAACGUGCCCCAGCAAGUGUGGCAUCCAGCUCAAAUGCAGCAGAAGCAACCGACUGCCCUGUGCCAGCAAGUGUGGCAUCCUCCUCAAAUGGCCCUGCAGCAGAAGCAACUGACCACCGUGCCCCAGCAAGUGUGGCAUCCAGCUCAAAUGCAGCAGAAGCAACCGACUGCCGUGCCCCAGCAAGUGUGGCAUCCUCGUCAAAUGCCCCUGAGGCAGAAGCAAACGACCGACGUGCCCCAGCAAGUGAGGCAUCCUGCUCAGUUUCCCCAGCAGAAGCAACUGGCCCCUAUGCCUCUACUGCAGAAGGAACCAACCACCAUAACCCAGCAACCUCAGCAGGUGUGGCAUCCAGCUCAAAUGUCCAAGAAUCGAACAGCCACUGAACCUCAGCAGAAGCCACCAUCCACCACGCCAGCUCAAAUUCCCCUGCAGCAGAAGCAACCGGCCACUGAACCUCAACAGAAGGAGCUGACCGCCAUGCCACAGAAGCUACAGGCCUCCAUUCUCCAGCAGCCUCCGCUCGUGUGGCAUCCAUCUCAAUUUCCCCAGCAGAAGGAACUGGCAGUCGAGCCCCAGCAGAAGAAGGAACUGGCAGUCGAGCCCCAGCAGCAGAAGGAACUGGCAGUCGAGCCCCAGCAGCAGAAGGAACUGGCAGUCGAGCCCCAGCAGCAGAAGGAACUGGCAGUCGAGCCCCAGCAGCAGAAGGAACUGGCAGUCGAGCCCCAGCAGCAGAAGGAACUGGCAGUCGAGCCCCAGCAGCAGAAGGAACUGGCAGUCGAGCCUCAGCAAGUGAGGUAUCCAGCUCAAAUGGCCCAGCAGCUACCCAACCCCAUUCCUCAGCAAUUAUGGCAUGUAGGCCAAAUUUCCCAGCAGCAACUGGCCCCAUUGUCUCAGCAGAAGCACUACGAAAGAACUGAAGAUGAUGCCUCUGGUAGUUCUCAGGCCAGCAUUGAACAGUCAGGUGUCAUCCCAAUCUCUUCCUACAGUUCCAAAUCGCACUACAAGAAUGGCAGAACUAUCUUUUCACAAAUCAGCUACACUCCUAGGGAGGCAAUGCCUGUUGACAGUGGAAAUGCUCCCAAGGACGGUUAUGUUGGCAUUGGUGCACCAAGCAUAUAUCCAACACUAGUGAAGGAUUCUGCAAGGGAAAUAUAAUGGAUUCAUCCUCUAGAAGCUCUAAUGACCAGGAAGUUGCUGGUGCUCUUGCUACUCUAGUGUGAUGGAAUCAAUAAACAACUUACUUUAAAAAAUGCCUUGUCUCUUUGAAAUGUUUCAUGUCCAUUGCUUGCUAAUUGAGAACAGGUUGUGUGCAGUCCGUAGUAAAAAUGACUACUGUUCAGUUAAUUCUUUGGUUUUCUUAUCUUUUACAUUUGCUACUGAUUAAAAUAAAAGCUUGGGUCUACAUAAGAGCAUUUGUGAUGGGGUCAGACAUUCCUCAUAUGUUCAUACUUUAGAUGUAGGCAUGCAUUGUAUACAGUGAGACUGUCAGAUAAAUCCCUGAUUGAAGAGCUCUGGGGAAGUGUACUAAAAUGUCUGAAGCAUUGAAGGUCCCUAAGAACAGUCGCCUCGAUCGUUUAUAAAUGGAAGAGCUUUGGAACCACCAAGACUCUUCCUAGAGCUGGCCGCCGGGCCAAACUGAGCAAUCGGGGGAGAAGGGCCUUGGUCAGGGAGGUGAUCAAGAACCCGAUUGUCACUCUGACAGAGCUCGAGAGUUCCAUCUCUGCAGCACUCCACCAAUCAGGGCUUUAUGGUAGUGUGGAGAGGUGGAAGCCUCUCCUCAGUAAAAAGCACAUUACAGCCGGCUUUACACCUAAAGACUCUGAAACCAUGCGAACAAGAUUCUCUGGUCUGAUUAAACCAAGAAUGAACUCUUUGGAUUGAAUGGCAAGUGUCACGUCUCGAAGAAACCUCUCACCAUUGAGUGGCCCAGCCAUAGCCCGGACUUAAACCCGAUCAAACAUCUCUGGAAAGACCUGAAAAUAGCUGUCCAGCAAAGCUCCACAUCCAACCUGACUGAGCUUGAGAGGAAUUGUAGAAACUUUCAUUUCUAAAUCAUAAUGCAAAUGAAACCCUGAGUUCAGUUUAUAUAGCCAUGGGGGAAUGAAAACAGAUGUAUGCAUUUGGUUGUGAAGACAGAUUACAUGUAAAUAAAACGACAAAAGGAAUACUAAAAUUGUCUAGGUGUAUACAACCCGAGGGUGGUCGAAAUUGUUUAAAUGUUGCAUACAUUUUUUUUUGUAUCUAGAUAUUGUGUUAAUGUCUAAACAACUCUUUUAUUCAUUGUCAGAAAUAUAUAAAUAUAGUUUUACCUGCACCUGUAUGCAGAUGAUACCGUUGUGUACUCAAUUGCCCCGCCCUGCUGAUCAGGCUCUAUCUGAUCUACAUUAGGCUUUCAUUAUUUUGCAGAACACCUUUAUUGACCUUCAAUUAUUAUUGAAUUCAUGGAAAACUGUUCUCUAGAUUACACAAAAAUGAUUCUAAUGAUUGAAGUGUACGUACCUGGUACGGUGUAUCAGUAUGUACGUUAAGUUGUCUUUUUGAAAAACAUAUUGAUGAGUUAAUUAAGAUGCUG
ensembl:lncRNA